rnacentral:rRNA from 1 species
AUUGAACGCUGGCGGCAUGCUUUACACAUGCAAGUCGAACGGUAACAGGCCGCAAGGUGCUGACGAGUGGCGAACGGGUGAGUAAUGCAUCGGAACGUGCCCGGUCGUGGGGGAUAACGCAGCGAAAGCUGCGCUAAUACCGCAUACGAUCUGAGGAUGAAAGCGGGGGACCGUAAGGCCUCGCGCGAUCGGAGCGGCCGAUGUCAGAUUAGGUAGUGGGUGGGGUAAAGGCUCACCAAGCCAACGAUCUGUAGCUGGUCUGAGAGGACGACCAGCCACACUGGGACUGAGACACGGCCCAGACUCCUACGGGAGGCAGCAGUGGGGAAUUUUGGACAAUGGGCGAAAGCCUGAUCCAGCAAUGCCGCGUGCAGGAAGAAGGCCUUCGGGUUGUAAACUGCUUUUGUACGGAGCGAAAAGGUCUCCUCUAAUACAGGGGGCUCAUGACGGUACCGUAAGAAUAAGCACCGACUAACUACGUGCCAGCCGCCGCGGUAA